rnacentral:rRNA from 1 species
GACGAACGCUGGCGGCGUGCCUAAUACAUGCAAGUAGAACGCUGAAGGAGGAGCUUGCUUCUCUGGAUGAGUUGCGAACGGGUGAGUAACGCGUAGGUAACCUGCCUGGUAGCGGGGGAUAACUAUUGGAAACGAUAGCUAAUACCGCAUAAGAGUAGAUGUUGCAUGACAUUUGCUUAAAAGGUGCAAUUGCAUCACUACCAGAUGGACCUGCGUUGUAUUAGCUAGUUGGUGAGGUAACGGCUCACCAAGGCAACGAUACAUAGCCGACCUGAGAGGGUGAUCGGCCACACUGGGACUGAGACACGGCCCAGACUCCUACGGGAGGCAGCAGUAGGGAAUCUUCGGCAAUGGGCGGAAGUCUGACCGAGCAACGCCGCGUGAGUGAAGAAGGUUUUCGGAUCGUAAAGCUCUGUUGUAAGAGAAGAACGAGUGUGAGAGUGGAAAGUUCACACUGUGACGGUAUCUUACCAGAAAGGGACGGCUAACUACGUG